GCCCUCGUAGCUCAAUGGUAGAGCGCGUCACUAGUAUGCCGAGGUAUGACGAGGUUGACGGUUCGAUUCCGUUCGUGGGCA
rfam:Blumeria graminis f. sp. tritici 96224 unplaced genomic scaffold Scaffold-234, whole genome shotgun sequence.